rnacentral:rRNA from 1 species
AUUGAACGCUGGCGGCAUGCCUAACACAUGCAAGUCGAACGGCAGCACAGUAAAGACUUCGGUCUUUAUGGGUGGCGAGUGGCGGAAGGGUGAGUAAUGCAUAGGAAUCUGCCUUGUAGUGGGGGAUAACCCGGGGAAACUCGGGCUAAUACCGCAUAAUCUUUACGAAGCAAAGCGGGGGACUGCAAGGCCUCGCGCUAUAAGAUGAGCCUAUGUCGGAUUAGCUAGUUGGUGGGGUAAAGGCCUACAAAGGCGACGAUCCGUAGCUGGUCUGAGAGGAUGAUCAGCCACACUGGGACUGAGACACGGCCCAGACUCCUACGGGAGGCAGCAGUGGGGAAUAUUGGACAAUGGGCGCAAGCCUGAUCCAGCAAUGCCGUGUGUGUGAAGAAGGCCUUCGGGUUGUAAAGCACUUUUAGUUGGGAAGAAAAGCUUAUGGUUAAUAACCAUGAGUGCUGACGUUACCAACAGAAAAAGCACUGGCUAACUCUGUGCCAGCCGCCGCCGUAA